AGUGGAUCCUGAGUACGGCGGAACACGUGAAAUUCCGUCGGAAUCCGGGAGGACCAUCUCCCAAGGCUAAAUACUCCCUAGUGACCGAUAGUGAACCAGUACCGUGAGGGAAAGGUGAAAAGCACCCCGGAAGGGGAGUGAAACAGUUCCUGAAACCGUGUGCCUACAAGUAGUUAGAGCCCGUUAAUGGGUGAUAGCGUGCCUUUUGUAGAAUGAACCGGCGAGUUACGAUUUGUUGCAAGGUUAAGCGGAAAAAGCGGAGCCGUAGCGAAAGCGAGUCUGAAUAGGGCGCAUAAGUAACAGGUCGUAGACCCGAAACCAGGUGAUCUACCCAUGUCCAGGAUGAAGGUAAGGUAAUACUUACUGGAGGUCCGAACCCACGCACGUUGAAAAGUGCGGGGAUGAGGUGUGGGUAGCGGAGAAAUUCCAAUCGAACUUGGAGAUAGCUGGUUCUCUCCGAAAUAGCUUUAGGGCUAGCCUCGAGGUAAAGAGUCAUGGAGGUAGAGCACUGUUUGGACUAGGGGCCCUUCUCGGGUUACCGAAUUCAGAUAAACUCCGAAUGCCAUGUACUUAUACUCGGGAGUCAGACUGCGAGUGAUAAGAUCCGUAGUCGAAAGGGAAACAGCCCAGACCACCAGUUAAGGUCCCCAAAUAUAUGUUAAGUGGAAAAGGAUGUGGGGUUGCUUAGACAACCAGGAUGUUGGCUUAGAAGCAGCCACCAUUGAAAGAGUGCGUAAUAGCUCACUGGUCGAGUGACCCCGCGCCGAAAAUGUACCGGGGCUAAACAUAUUACCGAAACUGUGGAUGAACCUCUUCGGAGGUUCGUGGUAGGAGAGCGUUCUAAGGGCGGUGAAGUCAGACCGGAAGGACUGGUGGAGCGCUUAGAAGUGAGAAUGCCGGUAUGAGUAGCGAAAGAAGGGUGAGAAUCCCUUCCACCGAAUAUCUAAGGUUUCCUGAGGAAGGCUCGUCCGCUCAGGGUUAGUCGGGACCUAAGCCGAGGCCGAUAGGCGUAGGCGAUGGACAACAGGUAGAGAUUCCUGUACCAGUGCUAAUUGUUUAACCGAUGGGGUGACACAGAAGGAUAGGGAAUCGCACGAAUGGAAAUGUGCGUCCAAGCAGUGAGUGUGAGAAGUAGGCAAAUCCGCUUCUCGCGAAGCAUGAGCUGUGAUGGGGAAGGAAAUUAAGUACGGAAGUUCCUGAUUUCACGCUGUCAAGAAAAGCCUCUAGGAAGAGUAGUACUGCCCGUACCGCAAACCGACACAGGUAGAUGAGGAGAGAAUCCUAAGGUGAGCGAGAGAACUCUCGUUAAGGAACUCGGCAAAAUGACCCCGUAACUUCGGGAGAAGGGGUGCUCUAUUAGGGUGCAAGCCCGAGAGAGCCGCAGUGAAUAGGCCCAGGCGACUGUUUAGCAAAAACACAGGUCUCUGCAAAACCGUAAGGUGACGUAUAGGGGCUGACGCCUGCCCGGUGCUGGAAGGUUAAGAGGAGUGCUUAGCUUCGGCGAAGGUACGAAUUGAAGCCCCAGUAAACGGCGGCCGUAACUAUAACGGUCCUAAGGUAGCGAAAUUCCUUGUCGGGUAAGUUCCGACCCGCACGAAAGGCGCAACGAUCUGGGCACUGUCUCAACGAGAGACUCGGUGAAAUUAUAGUACCUGUGAAGAUGCAGGUUACCCGCGACAGGACGGAAAGACCCCGUGGAGCUUUACUGCAACCUGAUAUGGAAUGUUUGUACCGCUUGUACAGGAUAGGUAGGAGCCGAAGAGACGUGUGCGCUAGCAUACGAGGAGGCAAUGGUGGGAUACUACCCUGGCUGUAUGACCAUUCUAACCCGCCACGCUUAGCGCGUGGGGAGACAGUGUCAGGUGGGCAGUUUGACUGGGGCGGUCGCCUCCUAAAGAGUAACGGAGGCGCCCAAAGGUUCCCUCAGAAUGGAUGGAAAUCAUUCGCAGAGUGUAAAGGCACAAGGGAGCUUGACUGCGAGACUGACAAGUCGAGCAGGGACGAAAGUCGGGCUUAGUGAUCCGGUGGUUCCGCAUGGAAGGGCCAUCGCUCAACGGAUAAAAGCUACCCCGGGGAUAACAGGCUUAUCUCCCCCAAGAGUCCACAUCGACGGGGAGGUUUGGCACCUCGAUGUCGGCUCGUCGCAUCCUGGGGCUGUAGUCGGUCCCAAGGGUUGGGCUGUUCGCCCAUUAAAGCGGCACGCGAGCUGGGUUCAGAACGUCGUGAGACAGUUCGGUCCCUAUCCGUCGCGGGCGCAGGAAAUUUGAGAGGAGCUGUCCUUAGUACGAGAGGACCGGGAUGGACACACCGCUGGUGUACCAGUUGUUCCGCCAGGAGCAUCGCUGGGUAGCUAUGUGUGGCAGGGAUAAACGCUGAAAGCAUCUAAGCGUGAAGCCCCCCUCAAGAUGAGAUUUCCCAUUUCUUCGGAAAGUAAGAUCCCUGAAAGAUGAUCAGGUAGAUAGGUUUGGAGUGGAAGUGUAGCGAUACAUGGAGCGGACAAAUACUAAUCGAUCGAGGACUUAACCAAAA
rnacentral:rRNA from 1 species